CUGAAGACAAUCCCAAUCCCACCGGUGCCUGAAUUUGAACAAUUUCAUUUUUGUCUUUAUUUAGUUCAACACUAGGGUUUGGAAAGUGAUCAUUGUGACAAAGUUUUAAAUUUAAAAAAAGAAUUACUUAAAAUUGUUAUCAAUUUUUAGGUUUUAAUGUUCAUCAAAUGAACUAUUUGUAGUUAAUUCUUCCACAUCCUUUCCAGUUUCCACCAACUUUUUCAUACCCUUCUUUUAUGCACACAAAUAUAUAUAUAUAUAUGUAUAUAUGUAUGUAUGUAUGUAUGUAUGUAUUGAAUGUGCUUAUCUAAAGGCCUUAACUAAAUUAUUAGCUUAAAAGAAUUUCAAAAAAGAAAACAUAUCAAAUAGUUUAACUAAAGGAAUUUUGCAAUGUCAAAAUUGAUCUUAGCUUCCAUUUUUCUCAGGAAUUUCGCAAAGUGAAAAUCGAUCCAUCUUCCUCCUUAACCUUUCAGGAUUUGUAACUCCUAUAUGCCAUAGACGAAAGCUAUUGAUGUAAUGAAUACUUCUUAACUUGGGUUAAUAUAAAAUCCAAACAAGAAAAUAUUCCAUUCAUGAAAUUUCUUUUAUCUCCCAUGAAAAAUAAAAAAAAAUAAGGUUCUCAAUCCAUUGAUUAAAACCUUAUUGCUUUUCAAUUUUUUUUAUCAAGGUCCUUAAGUUUUAAUAAAUGUGAUUAUUUCAAUAGCAAAAUAUAUACAUGUCAAGAUAAUUAAAUUUUAUUUCCAAAUAUGUUUGUUUAGUGAUAGGACCGUUACAUUUGAUAUAUUUAUAUUUAUGGCUAAACUUUGUAUCAUAUAUUUCUACUUUUAGAUGGUAGCCAUUUUUAAUUUGCAAUUUUUUUUUAAUUUGUACCAAUUUUCUUUCUAGCUUUAAUUUGCACCGUAUUUUUAUAUUUUAAAUUUUUAUUUGUACUAAAUAAAUUUUUUCAACCUUUUAUUUUUACCCAUUAUUAUUUAUAAUAUACCCAUAUUUCUUUAAAACUGUUUUACUUGUUAUAUGUAAAAUAAACUUUUUUUUUUGUAAAUAUACCAUUUUUUAUGUUAAAUGCACCCAUUGUUUAAUAUAAUUUUUUUUUUAAUUCUAAAAUGUACCCAUUGUUUUUUUAUGUAUAAAAUGGACCUUUUUUUAUUUAUAAAAUUUACCAAUUUUUUAUAUGCAUGUAAAAUGUACCUAAAUUUUUAUUAUAAGUGUACUUAUAUUUAUAAAAAUAAAAAGAUCCCUUUUUUUUUUAUAAUCUAGAAUGCAUCCAUAAGCAAUUAUUAUUAUUAUUAUUAUUUGGUUGAAACCCAUAAGCAAUUUUGAAUAAUUGAAUUGGUAGUGUAAAUGAAGCAAAAUAACGGUUUGAGUCUUUAUUGGUAUUAUUGCAUCUCUUUUAUUAUUAGGCUUAAUCGGAUAAAUGGUUCCCGUGGUCAUAAGGUAUUCGGAUGAUAGCCCCUGUGGUAAAAAAAUUCGUAUUUAAACCCAUGUGGUCGCAGUCUGUUAGGAUUUAAACCCCUGUGGUCUAAGUCUGUUAGGAUUUAUGCCCUUCUGUCAUUCCUCCAUUAGGUUUAGGUUGGCAAAAUCGGAUAAAUGGUCCCCGUGGUCAUAAGGUAUUCGGAAGAUAGUCCCUGUGGUAAAAAAAAAUUCAGAUUUAAACCCCUGUGGUCUAAGUUUGUUAAGAUUUAUGCCCGAAACUAGAGGUUCUGUCAUUUCUCCACUAAGCUUACAGGUGGAGCAGAGUUUCUCUGAGGAGACGCGACAAAACGAGGUGGAACUAAUAAAUCACAUAAUUCAUUAAAAUUCAAGAUCUAAUAAAUCAAAUAAUUCAAAAUGCCUUUAUAAAAUUAACGAGUUUUUUUACUCCCAAAUAUCCAACCGAUUAAUUAAUUCUUUAUAACAUAUUCUAUUUUUCUUUGACAAAUAAGACAGUAAUCGUUGGCGUUUUCCCAAAAUUUUACAUAAACCUCUAUGAGAUAAAUAGUUUUUUUUGUGUAAUUGUGAAUGUGAAGUAAGUCUUCGUAUCCUAUUGGUGAAACUAACUAUUUGAAAUUCAACAGAUCCUCUGUUUUCGUCUUUUUCUUCUUGUGAAAUAACUGAGAUGAAUGAAUUUUUUUACCAUAAACUAAAAUCUUCUCUCCCCCCCUCUUUUUAUUGUAAGAUAUUUUUUAUUGAUAGAUACUCAGAGAAACUCUGCUCCACCUGUAAGCUUAACGAAGGAAUGACAAAACCUCUAAUUUCAGGCAUAAAUCCUAAUAGAC
rnacentral:lncRNA from 1 species